rnacentral:rRNA from 1 species
GGGUCAGUAGGUUGGUCGUGCCACCGGUACGUACUGGUCUCACUGAUUCCUCCUUCCUGAAGAACCGUAACGCCAUUAAUUUGGUGUUGCGGGGAAACAGGACUGUUACUUCGAAAAAAUUAGAGUGUUUAAAGCAAGCUAACGCUUGAAUACAUUAGCAUGGAAUAAUGAAAUAGGACGAUCGAUCCUAUUUUGUUGGUUUCUAGGAUUGACGUA